ACUGGGGCCGCGGCUUAGUGGUAGAGCAUCCGCUUGGCGUGCUGAAGGUCCCAGGUUCAAUCACAGGCCCCUCCAGUU
rnacentral:tRNA from 1 species